rnacentral:rRNA from 1 species
GAGUAACACGUGAGCAACCUGCCCUGGACUCUGGGAUAAGCGCUGGAAACGGCGUCUAAUACUGGAUAUGAGACGUGAUCGCAUGGUCAAUGUUUGGAAAGAUUUUUCGGUCUGGGAUGGGCUCGCGGCCUAUCAGCUUGUUGGUGAGGUAAUGGCUCACCAAGGCGUCGACGGGUAGCCGGCCUGAGAGGGUGACCGGCCACACUGGGACUGAGACACGGCCCAGACUCCUACGGGAGGCAGCAGUGGGGAAUAUUGCACAAUGGGCGGAAGCCUGAUGCAGCAACGCCGCGUGAGGGAUGACGGCCUUCGGGUUGUAAACCUCUUUUAGCAGGGAAGAAGCGAGAGUGACGGUACCUGCAGAAAAAGCGCCGGCUAACUACGUGCCAGCAGCCGCGGUAAUACGUAGGGCGCAAGCGUUAUCCGGAAUUAUUGGGCGUAAAGAGCUCGUAGGCGGUUUGUCGCGUCUGCUGUGAAAUCCCGAGGCUCAACCUCGGGCCUGCAGUGGGUACGGGCAGACUAGAGUGCGGUAGGGGAGAUUGGAAUUCCUGGUGUAGCGGUGGAAUGCGCAGAUAUCAGGAGGAACACCGAUGGCGAAGGCAGAUCUCUGGGCCGUAACUGACGCUGAGGAGCGAAAGGGUGGGGAGCAAACAGGCUUAGAUACCCUGGUAGUCCACC